UACGUAGGGACCAAGCGUUGUUCGGAUUUACUGGGCGUAAAGGGCGCGUAGGCGGCGUGGUAAGUCACUUGUGAAAUCUCUGAGCUUAACUCAGAACGGCCAAGUGAUACUGCUGUGCUAGAGUGCAGAAGGGGCAAUCGGAAUUCUUGGUGUAGCGGUGAAAUGCGUAGAUAUCAAGAGGAACACCGGUGGCGAAGGCGGCGAUCUGGACGAUGACUGACGCUGAGACGCGAAAGCGUGGGGAGCAAACAGG
rnacentral:rRNA from 1 species